GGGGUCCCGGCGCUGAGCGCACUCAGCCGCACCGGGCACCCUGGCGCCUCGCUGAGUCGGAGCAACCCCCGGGAGGAGCUUUCAGGCUCUGGUCAAGGCUCGGGCCUCGGGAAGCUAUCCCUACCCUCGGGGGCUCGAGCCUGGCGUGGAGCUUGCAGAAAAGGAAAGGGGGCAGGCCUAAAGGCAAGAAGAGAAACCGCCUGAGGGACCUUGCUGUUCCGUGCUCCUACGACAGGGUACGUGAUAUUCCUGAACAAGCAGAGAAGUCGGCUGAGGGCCACACACCCCGAUCUGCCUUUCACGGAAAUCACAAAGGUGCUGGCUGCUCAGUGGGCUCAGCUGUCUGAGGACAAAAAGGGAGAGAUGAACACAAUGGCCUGUACUGUGGGACCCGCAGGCAGCUCUUCAGCUCCCUGCGCAACAAGAAGCAACCUGCUGCAGAGGCAGCACCUGCAGCGCCUCACAGGUAACCAGCCUGGGCCAGGCUGCUCAGCCACAAACACUGGCCUUGACUCCACCUGCACCAAAGGUCACCAACGGGCAGCCCACGUGACGCCUCUUGUUAUUAAAAUGCAAUUUUAAGACAGACUCUAGCCAAGCCCACUUAUCACCAGGUGGGUGUUUAGGACAGGAUAGGUCUUCCACUGUAUCUGUUUUCCUCUUAGUUCACCAGGCUCACCUGCUCUGGGCCCCCCAGGACACAGACCUCAGCUUCUCCUGGAGCCCUUGCUCACUUUAUUCCAACUCUACGAGCUCCUUAACUAUCCCAGAGGACCCCAGGCCCAUAGCCACCUCGGGUCCGGAUGCCGCAUUCUCUGACAUGUGGCACAUUCUGGGUGCCCAUGAUUAUGAUCAGGUUCUGUGCCCAUGUGGCCUCAGGGCUCUUGUGACCACCCUUCAUCCAGGUCUUUGCUCACCUGUCUCCUGCCCAAGGAUGCCACCCGGGUCACUGUGCAGACCUCCAGCCCCUGCCCAUUUCUCUUCAUGAUUGCAUCACCGCCUCGCAGCCUCUUCCACUUGCUCAUUCCUGGUGUUAUUGCCUAUCUCCCACUGGAAGAGAAGGCCCUCAAGUUCAGCUAUUGCUUUGUCUGUGAUGUUCACUGUGGUGAACCCCAGGCCUAGAACCACGCCUGGUACUCCCGGUAAGUGCUCCAUAAGUAUCCAAUGAGUGGACGAAUGAAUGAAUGUGUUCAACAAAUGACCCUGGAGCAUGUAUUCCUUCCAGGGACAGAGCGAGGUGCUAGGGACACAGGAAGGAUGAGGCAGAGCUCCGUGCUAAUGAAACUAAGGGCCAAGCAUGUGGAUGAAUAUGCACAUCCUGGCAUUAAAACAUCUUGCAUUCUAGUGAAAUGAGACCCAUUGGACACAGAGAGGCCCCACUACAACUGCAUCUGUGUAAAAUCAAGAGAACGAUCAUGAAAACAGCCGUGGCAGGGGAAUUCAAAAAAGAUUCUGCCGCAUACUCAAAGCACCCAGAGCCUCUGGAAGAAGAGAAAGGACGAGAUUCAAAUGAGGCUGAGUCAGAGGAGGAAGCUGAGGGCCCCGAAUCCCUUCCGCUCAGAAGUCUUCAUCCAGAGAGGAGUUUUGCUUCACUCGACUUGUGUUUCUCGCAAGGGUUUGUCUAUAGAUUGCUGAAAAGUGAGUAAUCAAGUUCAGCAACUCCCUGGCAACUGUGAUGACCUAGGGUUUAUAAUCCUAGUCAGAGUAACCUACAGAGAGGUUAUAAUAUGAGGUGGAACAAAACAGAAAAGUCGCUAGAGGAAUAACGAUAGUAAAAAUUAUAAUCAGAUGAAGAAUAAAGUUUUCAAUGAGGUACAGUUCUAAGCACUUCAUACAAAUAACCUGUCUUAAUUCUCAUAAAAGUACUGCGAGGCAGAUACUAAUAUCAUCUCCUUCUAAAGAUAAAAUGCAGCACAGAGAGGUUAAGUAACUUGUCCAAGGUUGAACAGCGAGUGAGUGGCCAAUCUGAGAUUUAAAUCCAGGCUGUCUGGGUCCAAGAACUCUGUUCUUCACUACUUCUCAACAAUGUCAACUAUGUAAAAUGACACACACACAUAAACCCACAUCAGUGGUAAUGGUGGUUAUCCCUGGCCGGCAAGAUGAAAGAAGAUGUUACGUAAUUCUUCAGUCCUUUCUGUGUCUGCCACAUUUUCCCCAAUGGAUAGAUGUCAAUUAAACUAUCAGAGGAAGAAACAAACUCUAUUAAAAAUGAUUUCAAGGGCUGGGCAAGGUGGGUUACACCUGUAAUCCUAGCAUUUUGGGAAGCCGAGGUUGACGGAUCACCUGAGGUCAGGAGUUCAAGACCAGCCUGGCCAACAUGGCAAAACCCUGUCUCUACUAAAAAUACAAAAAAAUUAGCUGGGCAUAGUGGCACAUGCCUAUAAUCCCAGCUACUUGGGAGGCUGAGGCAGGAGAAUCGCUUGAACCUGGGAGGUGGAGGUUGCAGCGAGCCAAGAUCACACCACUGCACUUAAGCCUGGGUGACAUAGCAAGGUUUCAUCUC